rnacentral:lncRNA from 1 species
UUACGAAGAACUUUCUAGCCAAGUCACUGGAGUUGGAAGAUGAGUAAAGGUUCGAUAAUUCUCUCUUUUUUAUCUUUCGUAGAAAGAUGUCAUCUAUCUAACUUGACUUGUAUGUUCCUUAGAGAGUCCUCCGUGGAUUACCUACUACAAGUUUGGCACACCUACAAAAGUCCCCCUGAUUUCUAACAGGUGAAUAACAUUGCAUCUCAUUCUCCAUUCUCCUUUUUCAUGUGACAGCUAAUUGUACUCUGCAAUCUAAAUGUGCUUACCAACUCCUUGGGAGUUGGAUGUGACAAAGGAAGAGCUACUGGUCAUGAACUAGUAGUGUUCAUGAAUUGAGGGAACCUUUCCUUUUAAUAAUCAUGAUAGAUGGAUAGUUUCUCUAAGGUUUUAUUUUUCUGGGUCAAAUAAUGGAUCAAUUAUUAUUAU